rnacentral:lncRNA from 1 species
CUCCUGGACACCGAGACUGGCCUCAGAAAUAGUUGGCUUUUUUUUUUUUUAAUUGCAAGCAUAUUUCUUUUAAUGACUCCAGUAAAAUUAAGCAUCAAGUAAACAAGUGGAAAGUGACCUACACUUUUAACUUGUCUCACUAGUGCCUAAAUGUAGUAAAGGCUGCUUAAGUUUUGUAUGUAGUUGGAUUUUUUGGAGUCCGAAGGUAUCCAUCUGCAGAAAUUGAGGCCCAAAUUGAAUUUGGAUUCAAGUGGAUUCUAAAUACUUUGCUUAUCUUGAAGAGAGAAGCUUCAUAAGGAAUAAACAAGUUGAAUAGAGAAAACACUGAUUGAUAAUAGGCAUUUUAGUGGUCUUUUUAAUGUUUUCUGCUGUGAAACAUUUCAAGAUUUAUUGAUUUUUUUUUUUCACUUUCCCCAUCACACUCACACGCACGCUCACACUUUUUAUUUGCCAUAAUGAACCGUCCAGCCCCUGUGGAGAUCUCCUAUGAGAACAUGCGUUUUCUGAUAACUCACAACCCUACCAAUGCUACUCUCAACAAGUUCACAGAGGAACUUAAGAAGUAUGGAGUGACGACUUUGGUUCGAGUUUGUGAUGCUACAUAUGAUAAAGCUCCAGUUGAAAAAGAAGGAAUCCACGUUCUAAAAAAGAAGGGGAGCGUUCAAUUCCAAACAGCUGCUUUAUUUGGAGAAAUACCGACCUAAGAUGCGAUUACGCUUCAGAGAUACCAAUGGGCAUUGCUGUGUUCAGUAGAAGGAAAUGUAAACGAAGGCUGACUUGAUUGUGCCAUUUAGAGGGAACUCUUGGUACCUGGAAAUGUGAAUCUGGAAUAUUACCUGUGUCAUCAAAGUAGUGAUGGAUUCAGUACUCCUCAACCACUCUCCUAAUGAUUGGAACAAAAGCAAACAAAAAAGAAAUCUCUCUAUAAAAUGAAUAAAAUGUUUAAG